rnacentral:rRNA from 1 species
CACCAGACUCCUACGGGAGGCAGCAGUGGGGAAUAUUGCACAAUGGGGGAAACCCUGAUGCAGCGACGCCGCGUGAAGGAUGAAGUAUUUCGGUAUGUAAACUUCUAUCAGCAGGGAAGAAAAUGACGGUACCUGACUAAGAAGCCCCGGCUAACUACGUGCCAGCAGCCGCGGUAAUACGUAGGGGGCAAGCGUUAUCCGGAUUUACUGGGUGUAAAGGGGGCGCAGACGGCGAUGCAAGCCAGGAGUGAAAGCCCGGGGCCCAACCCCGGGACUGCUCUUGGAACUGCGUGGCUGGAGUGCAGGAGGGGCAGGCGGAAUUCCUGGUGUGGCGGUGAAAUGCGUAGAUAUCAGGAGGAACACCGGUGGCGAAGGCGGCCUGCUGGACUGCAACUGACGUUGAGGCCCGAAAGCGUGGGGAGCAAACAGGAUUAGAUACCCUCGUAC